GGGGAGGUCGCAUAGUUGGUCGAGUGCGGGGGAUUGCUAAUCCCUUGUACGGGAGUAAUCCCGUACCGCGGGUUCGAAUCCCGCCCUCCCCG
rnacentral:tRNA from 1 species